rnacentral:rRNA from 1 species
UAGGGAAUCUUCCGCAAUGGACGCAAGUCUGACGGAGCAACGCCGCGUGAGUGAAGAAGGAUUUCGGUUCGUAAAACUCUGUUGUUAGAGAAGAACAGCGCAUAGAGUAACUGUUAUGCGUGUGACGGUAUCUAACCAGAAAGCCACGGCUAACUACGUGCCAGCAGCCGCGGUAAUACGUAGGUGGCAAGCGUUGUCCGGAUUUAUUGGGCGUAAAGCGAGCGCAGGCGGUCAAUUAAGUCUGAUGUGAAAGCCCCCGGCUCAACCGGGGAGGGUCAUUGGAAACUGGUUGACUUGAGUGCAGAAGAGGAGAGUGGAAUUCCAUGUGUGACGGUGAAAUGCGUAGAUAUAUGGAGGAACACCGGUGGCGAAAGCGGCUCUCUGGUCUGUAACUGACGCUGAGGCUCGAAAGCGUGGGGAGCGAACAGG